AGAUAAGCACGGGCAGCUGGCCUAAUGGUAAGGCGCUUGAUUUCGGUUCAGUUCUCAAGAGAUUAUGGGUUCGAUCCCCAUGUUGCUCUU
rnacentral:tRNA from 1 species